rnacentral:rRNA from 1 species
ACGGAAGGCAGCAGUGGGGAAUAUUGCACAAUGGGGGAAACCCUGAUGCAGCGACGCCGCGUGAGUGAAGAAGUAUCUCGGUAUGUAAAGCUCUAUCAGCAGGGAAGAAAAUGACGGUACCUGACUAAGAAGCCCCGGCUAACUACGUGCCAGCAGCCGCGGUAAUACGUAGGGGGCAAGCGUUAUCCGGAUUUACUGGGUGUAAAGGGAGCGUAGACGGUCUGGCAAGUCUGAUGUGAAAGGCAGGGGCUCAACUCCUGGACUGCAUUGGAAACUGUCGGACUGGAGUGCCGGAGAGGUAAGCGGAAUUCCUAGUGUAGCGGUGAAAUGCGUAGAUAUUAGGAGGAACACCAGUGGCGAAGGCGGCUUACUGGACCGUAACUGACGUUGAGGCUCGAAAGCGUGGGGAGCAAACAGGAUUAGAUACCCUGGUA